rnacentral:tRNA from 1 species
UUAGGUGAAGCCAAAAAGAGGCUUAUCACUGUUAAUGAUAGAAAUGGGCUAUUCCCCACCUAAG